UCGCACGCUGCACCCCGGGCUUCUCUGAAUCUUACAUCAAUGACGAUGUUAAGCCCCAAUGCUCGUGCUAGAUCUAUUUCGCCGCUCGUGUUGCAGUUGAGCCGCCAUUUCCAAGGCUCAUCUGUGUCUAAAGAACGGCUACAUCU